GAAUUCUUAUAAUGCUAGGGUUUGGACAAUCCCCAUUUCAACUUUCUGUAAAAGUAAACAUGAUGCAUCACGAAAGGCUAGUACUAGUGCAAUGCCAGAAGCUAGGGAUGGGACACAAUGAAAAGAAGAAAUUGUUUUGUGAAAUUUUUAAGGAAGCUAUGUUCCCUGAUGGUUGUGCAUCUGAUAUACGCUGGAAUGUCCUUGUGAAGCAGAAAAAGAUCGUUCGGCUGAAGAGCCAUGACAAUCACAUUCUUUUGCAGCAAUUGCUUCCAGUAGAUGUUCGGAACACAUUGCCAAAGGAAGUCGGUAUUGCCUUGGUUCGUGUCAGCAGAUUCUUCAAGCAAAUAUAUUCUCCUGUCAUUAGCAUAAGUGACAUGGAGAAGCUAGAGGGAGAAAUAGCUGAGACCUUGAGCAUUCUUGAAGCCAUAUUUCUGCCAUCAUUUUUUGAAUUUAUGGUUCACUUGAUGAUUUAUCUUCCAACCCAAGUGAGGCUCGGGGUUCCAAUAAAGUACAGCAGCAUGUACCCAGUAGAAAGGUCAUCCCUAUAAACCUAUUUUCUUGGUAUCAUAUGGUUUCUUGCUUGCCCCAAAAUAAUAUGAUAUAUCCUAUGUAUAUACUAUAUAGGUAUAAUAUGAAGCUAAAGGGGUUUGUACAUACCAAGAACCACCCCGAGGGGUCAAUUGCAGAGGGCUAUGUGUUUGAUGAAAGCUUUACAUUCUGCUCUCGUUAUUUACAUGGAUGUGAGACUAGAUUUAAUAGAAAAUGCUGAAAUGACACCCUUGAGACCAAUGUAUCUACUAUGCCAUUUUUUAUCAACAAGGGUCGAUUUUUGGCUGGAAAGCAUAUAGUGACCUUAGAUCACAAGUCAUGGCUGCAAGCACAUCGAUGUGUUUUGUUUAAUUAUGAUAACAUAGAUUCAUAUUUCAGGUAUUUUAUUUCUAAGAUUUUCUUUCAUUUGAGCCUAUGAACAAUAUUUUUCAUAUUGCUGAAUUUGCAUACUUAACUCCUGCAGCAAGUAUGAUGCCUAUUUAACUUCGAUUGGCCACGGGAAUAAGUUAGAGAUUACUGGCAUUCGCCAUGAGAAAUUCAAUGAGUGGUUUAAGCUCCAUGUGGCACAACUAAUUGCGAAUGGUGAAGAUAUUUCUGAAGAGAUUCAAACUUUAGCUAACGAGCCCUUUUAACUGCAGGGAAGCGUAAUAGCUAUACCAUAGACGGGUACAAUUUCCACACAAAUUCAUAUGAUCAGGGUAGACCUACCCAAAGCAGCGGGGUUGCUCUUGUAUCUCAGAUUUUGUCUUCCACAAGUGAAGAUAAUGAAAAUCUUAUGGUUAGGAAAAAUAUAUUAUAGUGUGAUAACUGAAAUCCUUUAGUUAAAUUUUAACAACAAAGGAAGUAUUGUGCUUUUAAAAUGUGAUUGGGUUGACAACAGUGCACAAGACAAGUGGGUUCAAGUCAAUGAUCUUGGUGUCACACGUGUGAACUUCAAGCAUUUACUCAAGUCUGAUGAUCCUUUCAUUUUGGCAUCCCAUGCAACCCAAGGGUACUAUGUGCAAGAUAAGCUUGAUAAAGAUUGGUAUUCUGUUAGAAGCUUUCCUCAUCCACGAGACCUGUAUGAUAUGUUUGGAGUGGGAGAUGAAGAUUUUGACCACCAUGAUGCACCUACUGUGUCAAUUGCUGAUAUGGAUGCCAAUGUUGAUGUGUUGAUGUUAGAAAUAUACCUUGUAGUAGGACAGAUAUAGAUGGAACACUUGUUCCUUCAGUUUAGCAACCAAAGUGUGUGCCUUUUCCUUUCAUUUUUCUUAUAUACUUGAUAUCCAAUGUGUCAAUUCUAAUGUGCUAUAAAUUUUAUUUUAAGGAAAAAAGAUGGAAAAAGGAAGAGACGAAGACAAUGCUGAAGCACGAGAGGAAGAGAGGCUAGCGAAUCUUAAAGCAAGAAAUAGUGAGGAUUUUGCACGAUUUGGGUCUUUCAGAUUUGCAGAUGAUAAAGAAAUUCCUGGAGGCAAAGCCAGUCAAUGGCAAACUAAAAGAAAGAAGAGCACCGCAGAAAAGUCUACUGUUGAAGUAACUCGAGUUCUUAGGUCCCAAAGUACUAGAGAUGUUGAUGACAUGCCAAGUGAUAACAUUGAAGAGCACGAAGACCAUGAGUUGGAUCAAGAAACAAAGGGGAAGAAGGGGAAAACGCACUAGAAUGCACAAUGUGUAUGAUAGAUUGGGGACAGUCCCACCAAUUCGUCUGGAGUACAAUGGUGAUGGAUAACCAAUUGGGGACAAUGCGUCGGAGUUUUCAAACUUCAUCUGAACACUUGUGAAAAUUAAAAUAUCUCUUGGGCAUAAUGAUUGGAGAAAGGUUGAUGUUGAGCAAAAAAAUCAUUUGUGGAAAACCUUAAAGAUGUACUAUCUUGUGGAUGACAAACUGAAGGACUGGGUAAUGGGAAGCGUUGUGAAGAAAUGAAGGGAUUUCAAAUCGGAUUUGAAGACUUUGUAUUUUGAUGAGAAGAUGACCGAUGAGGAACUUCAAGUUGUCCCAGAUAACAGAGUUAGCCCAACUGACUGGAAAGAGCUUGUUGCUUUUUGGAAAACUGAAGCAGGGAAGCAACGUAGCGAGCAAGGAAGAAAAAAUCGAAUGGAGAUGGAAUUAUUGCAUACAUCAGGCAACAAAAGUCAUGCUCGUGUUUCUCAUGAAAUGCAUAAGAAGAAUGGAUAUCCCCCUCAGAGACAUGAACUAUUUAUUCAAACACACACGUGCAAGAAGACUGGUGCACUUUCAAGUGUGGCUGCAGCAACUAUAUUUGAAAGUAGAGGAAUGGGUAUGUGAGGUGUAUAGGUCUAGGACCAAGUGCUGCAGGUUUGGGCAUGCCGGGUAAUAGAAAGCUGAAAUCCAUGAAGCUUCAAACGGCUAAGGAAGAAGCAAAAGAAGCUUGGCAAUCAAAUGUAAUUCUUGUUGAGCAUGUAGAGAAUAAUUUCCAAACAGUAGUUACAACUCUGAAGGAUGAACUUCAACAAAUGAGGAGACUGUUACAAUCAAAAGUGCAGCAAAAUAUUUAGUUCAAUCAAGAGUACGGCUUGUCUCACUCUAGAUAUGGAUAUGGAGGUGGCCAUGGUGGUGGCUAUCGAUAUGAAGGUGCCCAUGGAAGUGGAUAUCGACAUGAAGAUGGAUAUGAAGGUGGAUAUGAAGGUGGAUAUCGGCAUAAAGAUGGAUAUGGAGGUGGACAUCGACAUAAAGAUGGAUAUGAAGGUGGAUAUGGAGGUGGUUAUGGACAUGAAGGGGGGUAUGAAAAUUAAGGGGAGUAUGAGCAUAAAGAGAGUGCAUAAUCUGCCACCCGCAGCCAUGAGGUGCGGCAAGAGAAAGAAUCAGCCAUUUUGCAUAAGAAGACUCAAGAAGCACUCUUGCAAAAGAAGUUAAUAGCAUCCACUCAGAAAAACUUUUUACUUUCUGGUACCGCUCAACAUGAGGUGCUACAAGAGAAUGAAGCAACCAUUUUGCAAAAAAGAAGGCAAUAGGGAUCACACAACAAAGUAAGGAUGUGGCACUUCAUCGCCAGAAGAUGGCAACAAGCAAGGAAGUUGAAAUCACACAAAAAAAUCAGCAGAAAGGGAAGGAUGUGAUCCUGUAUAAUGUUUAUUGAGAUCAUAGUAUCCCAGCGGCAAAAGCAACCAUUCUGUCAAUUGAUCAGAAAAAGGAGGUAGGUGGUUAGGAGCUUGGCUCUGAAUAUUGUCAGGUUGCCCUGAACUAUGUAAUAAAAAGGGAUGCUAUACUACCUUGUGGUGUUGCGAACAUGACCACCAUGGGGCAAGCUCACGGGUGAUGUAUCGCAUGGCCAUACAAGCAUUUGGAAGUGGACAAGGCCAUGGAAAAAGCGGGAAUGCGACCACAAGUAGGCUAAGGAGGUUUCACAAAGGUGCACAAGUCGAUGAAGAUUUGGAAGGUUUUCAAGCUCCUGAAGAUUUGGAAGACCUACAAUAGUUGGUGGAGUGAUUAUAUAAUAUUCUUGUUUAGUUUGUGAAACUUGGACACACUUUCUCCACUCAUUUUGCUGCUUGAUAAGCCAUCUGCUCAUUUAGGUUGUGUGGCACACCCAAAAACAUGUACUUCUCCAUUUGUUGCACUAUUUCAUUUUGUUGGUUGUGUGACACAUUUUAAAACAUAUAUGCGCUGUACCUUUUGUGGCACAACCUCCUUAUAUGUAUAUUAUGGUUGUUUUGUUUAU